rnacentral:lncRNA from 1 species
GUACUUGCACUUUUAUCAAUAAUGGAGCACUCCUCGUGGCAAGCAUUGGAUUCAACAUGAGCAUACUUAGAAAAAAAAUGUAUAAUGCAUUAUAUUAUUUGAAACAUGUGCUUGCAAGACAAUGAACAUUGCUUCAAAUAAUUUAUAUUAUAUCAUAAUAAGCAAUGUUGGGCAUGUGUAAUGCACACUGGUAGAAAUAUGAGGAUCGUUCUGAUCAUUUGACAAACACUUGAAUUCAUAGAUAUUAUGCACUGAUAAUCAUGAUUAGCUCGAGAUGGAGGAGAAUUUGAUUGCUGGAUGUGUUCUCAUCAAUGGCUGAAAUAAUCAAGACU